AGCGUCAGCCCGCGAGCCCUGGCGUCGUGUAGGAGCGAGGAUGGAGAGCGGCGACGAAGUGGCCAUCGAGAGGCACCGCGUCCACUUGCGCUCCGCCACAUUGCGCGACGCCGUCCCCGCCACACUGCAUCUACUGCCCUGCGAGGUCGCGGUGGACGGGCCCGCCGCGGUGGGGCGCUUCUUCACGCCCGCCAUCCGCCAGGGCCCCGAGGGACUCGAAGUGUCGUUUCGGGGCCGCCGUCUACGGGGAGAGGAGGUGGCGGUGCCGCCUGGCCUCGUGGGAUACGUGAUGGUGACGGAAGAGAAGGAGGUGUCGAUGGGGAAGCCAGACCCCUUGCAGGAUUCCGGGACUGACGACCAAGAAGAGGAGCCGCUGGAACGGGACUUCGUGAGCAAAGGGAUAAGGUUGAAAGGGGGUGCGGGCGGGAGCUGUAGUCCCGAUGCUGAGCCAGGCCCCUUCCCCAGGACCGCUUCAUUGGAGCCACUGCCAGCUUCAGCCGCUUCACCCUGUGGGGUCUGGAGACUAUCCCUGGCCCGGAUGCCAAAGUGCGUGGGGCCUUAACUUGGCCCAGCCUU
rnacentral:sRNA from 1 species